rnacentral:rRNA from 1 species
UACAGAGGGGGCAAGCGUUGUUCGGAAUUACUGGGCGUAAAGGGCGCGUAGGCGGCCUGUUAAGUCGAACGUGAAAUCCCCGGGCUCAACCCGGGAACUGCGUCCGAUACUGGCAGGCUUGAAUCCGGGAGAGGGAUGCGGAAUUCCAGGUGUAGCGGUGAAAUGCGUAGAUAUCUGGAGGAACACCGGUGGCGAAGGCG